rnacentral:lncRNA from 1 species
CAGCAGUCCCAGCUACACCGUCUUCAUGGCCGCCCUGUCGUUCCUCCUGCCGGCUACGGUCAUCCUCUUCUGCUACGUGAAGAUCGUACGGGUGGCGAGGCACCACGCUCGAAGGAUCCACAGUCUGGAGGAGCAUCUCCAGCGAAGUCGCGAACGCUCCCUUGCCACGUCUUCUGAAUCGACUAAUCGGUGUUCAACCGCGGACCUGGAGUCGAACGACCCUUCCAGGCUGGUUUACUACGUAAGCGGAAGGUUCGUUUCCGAAUCGCAGUUUGACGCUAAUCAGUAUCCAGGUGAUCCAGCUUGUCGUCCACAGAUGGAAGGCGAAAGCAGCUCCAGACCUUCUACCCGUCGCCUGCAAGCUCUACUCGCUCAUCUCCAGAACGCAAGUGCCCAGCAAGCCAACAACCCCCAUAACGGCGUCGUAAGACUCUUCAUGGUCAUCGCGGCCUUCUUCCUCUGCUGGACGCCAUACAUCAGCGUUGCUCUGGUGCAGGCCACCGAGACCGCCCUCUCUCGCUCGGUCAGCCAGAUCCCACCGGCUGCCGUCACCUUCUCCUACUGGCUGGUGCUCUUCAACUCGGACAUCAACCCCCUGCUGUAUGCCUUGCUUAGCAAGCGAUUCCAGGGGGCGCUGCAGAACCUCAAGCAGAAGAUUCAAACAAGGCUAGGAAGUGUCGUUGCAAGAGUAGGAGAUCGACGAGGAGAUGGAGACGGUGGAGGAAGCACGAUGCCCACUAAUGUGAUGACUGCUACAUGCAGAGAACGACCUUCCAGAGAUGGUGGAAGCCAAAGAAGCCAUCGACGAGGAGUCGAGGAAUCGACGCAAUACUCCUCGGGUUUCGCAACAAGUUCGCCUUUUUCCAGAAGGUACAAGGAACGAGUGAACCAAAGUCUCCUACCUGGAAGUUUGUCGUCCACAUCCAACUCCUCCUCCUCCACCACGUCGUCCUCCUGUUCCCUUUGGAACACCUGCAGCGGAAGUUCUCCAGAACGGUCGGACUGCUUACAGGUUCCUUCUAAACCUCUGGAAAGGGAAAUACUUCCCAAGAAGUCGCCUGCGACCAAAGAGCGCCAGACCACGUUCUUUUAUGGUCAGAUCACAGUACGAGUGGAGCAUGAACUCUGUUGAUCUUUGUACUGCAGAGUCAUGGAAAUGAACUGCUGGAAUGAUCUUUUAAAUUAAGUUACAUUUUUAACGUUUUAAAGACUCUUGGUUGCAUUAUAUUAUGUUUGUACUUUGCUGAUGUUGUUUCAUUGACCUUGGACUCUAUG